rnacentral:miRNA from 1 species
CAAGGAUUUCUUAGGGUGAU